rnacentral:rRNA from 1 species
UGCGUAGGUGGCUAAAUAAGUCAGUGGUGAAAUACUCCAGCUCAACUGGAGGGGUGCCAUUGAAACUGUUUAGCUUGAGUAUGGACGAGGUAGGCGGAAUUUGUGGUGUAGCGGUGAAAUGCAUAGACACCACAAAGAACACCGAUAGCGAAGGCAGCUUACUGGACCAUAACUGACACUGAGGCACGAAAGCGUGGGGAGCGAACAGGAUUAGAUACCCUGGUAGUCC